rnacentral:snRNA from 1 species
UUUCUCUUUGGCAGCAUAUAAACCAGAAGUGGGAUGGUACAGAGAAGAUUAACAUGGCCCCUAAGCAAGGAUGACGGGUAAAUUUCUAAAGCAUCCCAUAUUUGU